UUCGUAGGCUUCUUUGUUGCAUAUAAAUUGUUUGGCUGGAAAGUUCAUAUUUUGGCAUAUUGAUGGAGAUGCAAUUUUUAGCGUAUUGUCUCAGAAUAUAAAUAUGCUUAAUGACAUCCUUGUUUUAGGUAAGCUAAAUUAGUGAAGUGUUGGAUCCCAUUCCUUGAGGUUAAUUUUCCCAGAUGCUUAUUCUGUUAUGUAGCUGAAUGGAACUCCAUAUCAUCUAAUAAAAUUUGCUUCACCUUAUAUUUUGACCUUCAUCUUUUGCCACUUCAAUAUUGGAUUGAAUUAUCUCACUAAACUGGUGUCUUUGGCGGUCUCUUUUAUGCAUUGAUCAACCAUCUAAUGCUUCAUGUGUCUCUAAGCUGUGCCACCUUUUGAUUCUUAGUGAUGCGUUUAUUUCUUUUACUUUACGUGUAAUCCAUAUAAAAGUUUCCGCUGCAACAGAUUGUUGUUUGAACAUGUUCUCUCUUUAACUCUCACAAAGAAUGUUGUCUUUUGGCUACCCCAUAUGCUAAACUCAAAAUCGUAGCUGAAAUAUAAGGUGUGAUUGAGUAUAAUCUAUAACUUAUGGAUCUAUUGGGGCGUCAUCGAUGACGACCCAACUUGGGUUUUCACAUAUAUGGUUCCAGGAAUCUAUGUUUUUGGGAUUUUAGGUUAUGCAGACAUAAAACUUUGGCAUGCUAAACUCAAUGUAGAACCCAACUGAGCUGCCACAAAUUCAAUUAUUUUAUAUUUUCUUUCUUGGCUAUAAAGCCAUUAUGGAAUGAGUAUGAAAUUGUUGGGCAGCAAUAUUAUGAAGUAGAUUUUGACAAUUGAUUUAUCCAUUCUAUAUGAUAAUAUUGAUGACAGAUCUUUAGGUUGUUUUUUAGGAAAGCUAGUUUUGUCAUACCUUUGUGAUUGUAUGAUUAUAUAUAGUCUUACAAUUUCCAAGCUGUAGACGUUAGAAAGAGUACUUGUAGGCUUUUAUUUGACAAAGUAUUUACUCUUAACAUGAAUGAUGAGAUAACAGGUCUGUAUGUGAUGGAAGAGUUUAGCCCUAAGGCACACUCUAUAUGCAGUUCCUCUCGCAUUUGCAUUUUGUAAUUUAUAUUUUGAAAUGCUGGUGAAGAACACAAAUCAUAUGUCACGUAAUCAUUUGGUGUAUUUGUGAGGACUAUGCUAGUGAAAGAGGACAAACCACCUUCCAGUAGCGAAAGAAAGGCGAAGAAGAGAGCCUUUCCUUGUCCAGUGGAAGGCAAAGAUGAUUUUCCCUCAAUUUGGUGGAAAACGAGGCAGCAGUGGUCUGAAGAGUGUAGUUAGUCCAACAGAAGGGCGAGUGACACCAUCUAGAAAGCCUGUCAAACACACCUUAGCAUAGGUGUAACAAGGAUUUUUACCCCGUGUCGAGCAAGCAAGUACCCAGGCGAAAGCGAGGAGUUGAAGAGGCUGGUAGCACGGGCGAAAGAGAGUUAUCUGCCCAAGGCAAGCAAUGGUCAAGGAAAGAUUGGAGUAGAUAUGGGAGCUUUUCGGAAUAGCACAGAAAUGCUUAGAAGGUGGCAGUGUCGUACGCAGAAGCCUACACUCCAUCUAAAGAGUCACAUCCGGAGUGGGUCUGUAGAAAAGAUUAUGACUCGGCAAGUCAUAUCAUCUUAACACAGUAUGGUUCAACAUCAUGUGGGAGACUCAUUCAAGGAGAGAUUGCGAAUAGGACCUAAGGCAGGCCGUAAGGACGUGCGAGCCUUGUCCUGACAGUCUAUCUUUGUCAUCUUGCAAUGGUAUGAUCGAGACCAAAGGGCUCCUAUUCAAGCACGUCUGGAGUUAGAAGGACACCUGAUAUUUCCAUUCUAUAAACUGCUUAAGGUUACUUAUUAAAAAUAAAUGGCUUAAUGUAAAAGCUAAAAUCUCACUUUUGAGAUACUAAGGGUUGGAUAUUCUUUGAAGUCGAAAUCUUCAAAGAAAGCAAGUGACUUCAAGAGUACGACGGAAGUGGAAGAGCAGGAUAGUGCCACCGUAGUGAUUUUACUAUUGUGAAGUAGGUUAGCUUCUAAGAUAGUGCUGGGGAAUGUGAGAUAAAUGUUGUGAUAAUGUUAUGGAAUUUGGCAUAUGCAUACUCUAUAACCUCACACUUUUUUAUCAUGAAUUAAUUAAUGUUUUCGCCAUUAUAUUUAUUAAUUUUUACUUCAUGUUUUCUGAGAUCUUGAAUGCGGUUGUUUUCGGUGACAUCUUUGUGUAAGUAACCUUAAUAGUGUGUCGAUCAUCAUGGACGGGAAGAAGGAUUACCUGGACCAUUCCUGCGGUGCGUUGCCAUGAGUUCCAUAUGGGAAGGAGAAUCCCCUAUGAUGAUUGGGGUGGGACGGUAUUGUGUUGGCCUUACCUGAUAGACUGGAAGGAGAAUACCCCAGGCAUAUCACAUGUGGUGUCUUCGAGUUGGUUGGCUAGGUAGACAUUCCCCAGUGCAACAUGUAUAUCUCUAUGUGAGUAUUGACCUGUUUGGAACAAGCGAGUCGGCUUGCACAUUGGUCGGAUGGGAGUGAUUCUCCGAUUUCGAAUGGUGGAGCGACUUCCCUGUUGGCCUUUCAGUCAACGGAUGUUUGUAUGAUGAGCAUCUAUGUAAUAUGAUGAGUUUUACGUGCUUGUGAAGAGGGUGAUUCCUCACCUCGGUAAUACUAAUACAUAAUGAGGUUUGCACAAAGGGUAACUCCUCAGAGGGGAUUCCUUGCCAUGCUUAUAUAAUUGUGUUUUACUGAGAUGGUGAUUCCUCGCAAUGUUUAUGAAUACAUGUGCUUUUGCUUGAGAGGGUGAUUCCUCGUCACACACUAAUAUAUGUGUUCAUCCAUUUCGUUACAUGAAACUGUACAUUGCAUCUUUACUAGCAUUGUCUCUCAUUAGCAUUUCUGUCAUAGCUGCCUAAAUUACGUAUGGUUUCAAUGUCGGAAUCAUAGACUUUUAUGCAUAAAUAGAUCCAGGAGUGAUACCCAAGGAAGAACCAACCUCGCUCGAGCAUUAGGCACGGAGGUUUUUCUUCGUUGUAGAACUUGUUUACUUUUUGGGAGUUGUACAUAUUUGUUAGUUAGACACCAUAUGUGUUCAGUUUGCCUCAUCUUGGGUGUAUGGACUAGACAAAUGGGCAUGUAUAUAAUUAUCUGUGGAAUAAAGUGGCCUAAGUGUAUUGUGAGAAUAUAUAUAUAUAUAUAUAUAUGGUUUAGACUUCUGGUACUAUAAUGUUUAGCCUUCAUACUAAGCCUUUACUUUUCUGCUGCAAACUAGAUAUCUAUUUCUUUACAUGUGCACUUCCUAGUGAACAUUGCAUGCUUAACCCGAUUUGAAUCUUGGGUGUUGCAAAUCUGUUGGCACCCUUGGCACUGCGGAUCCUCACUAGGUCCUUUACCGAGGAACGGGACGCCAUAAUAUUAUCCAAUAAAAUUUAUGAAAAGAUGUCUUAUAUAUGCGAGGUAGAGCAGUAAUACUCCACUCAUCUAACAUAAUUCUUCUUUUCACUAUUUUCUUUUCAUGAAUACCAGGUAAUUCAUGUAUAAUGCCCCCACUAUGUUUCACACUCUGUGGAUAAUUUAUGAUAGAGGAGAAUGAGUAUGAUAAAACUAUAUUGAGUGUUAAAUCCUACAUUGCUCCAUAUUAGGUGUAAUUGAGUUUAUUGAUGAUUUGAAGAGCUUUAAUUAUAACUUUGAAUAGUCUAUAUGAAGUUGUAACACCCCUUCCCGUAGGUCAUGAAUGUUACGGAUAUUCAUAACAUAACGGCCGGUAAAGAGAUUCAGUCUCAUAAAACACCUCAUCUAUUGGAUCAUAAAACUCAUAGUAUAACAAUCUUUCAUAACUUAAAAGCUGAGAAAUAAAAGAAAUGACAUAAGCUAGUUCUAUGUGAUACCAACACUGCUUAAAUGUCUAAAUCAUACACUAAGUCUUUGGAAAUCUAUUCUACUCCUGGCACUCCUGCUCUGUAUACACGAAAUCAUCAUCUGGGACAUUAAAACAUAAAAACAGAGAAACAAACAAAUGAGUCGAAGACUCAGUAAUAGCACAUCAUACUAGUCCAAUUGUCGUUGACCGUAUAUAACAUAUCAUAACAUAGGGUAAACCACGGUUGGGUCUGUGGCACCGUAUAACUUAUCAUAACAUGUAGUGAAACACGCUUCAGUCCGUGUUAUCAUUUAACAUAUGGUGAACCACGCUUGAGUCCAUGACACCGCAUAACAUAACUUGUGGUGGAACACACUUGGGUCCGUGUCACCUCAAAACAUCAUAUCUUUCAUGUGUUGGACCAUGCUAAAGUUCAUGGCUUGCACAUCCACCCAUAACUUAAGGCCAAUCUUAAAGCUUGUUUGUCAAUCAUGUGUUUUCUUAUUAACUUUCAUAAUGCAAGAGUAGGGUUGUGGAAGUUUAUAAGGCAAGGGUGGGGGGAUUACUUGAGUAACACUUGGCUGUGUUUGGGGGAUGGCAACAAAAUUAGCUUUUGGGAGGAUGUGUGGGUGGGAGAUUUGGCUCUUAAGGAUGCUUAUCCUAAUAUUUUCAGAAUUGCAUGAGAUAAGGAAGUUAUGGUGGCUGAUGUGAGGGCAAUUAGUCAAGGUUAACAGGUGUGGAAUAUCAACCUCACUAGGGAGGUACAAGAUUGGGAAGUGAGUGUGCUGGAGGAGUUCUUCAACUUGUUGUACAACAUCAUUGUUGGGGUUCCAGCUGAAGACACAAUGGAAUGGAGACUUUCUAAGAAAAGGAAAUUCUCGGUUCGCUUGUUUUAUGAUAUACUUUCUGCUCAAACUAGGCCCAAUUUCCUGUGUAAGAACACAUGGAGGAGUAAAGCACCUCCCAAGGCUGCGUUCUUUGUUUGGACAGCAGCUCUAGGGAAGUUCCUAACCAUUGAUAAUCUAAGGAGGGGAAUUAUUAUUAUGGACUAGUGUUGUAUGUGCAGAAAUAGUGGGGAAUCGGUAGACCAUUACUACUACACUGUAAUUUUGCAAGGGACAUGGAAUUAUUUCUUCAGCAGUAUGGGACUAGCUUGGGUAAUGCCAGGAAGGGUGGUGGAAUUACUAGCUAGCUGGAGAGGGAUCGCAGGGACAGCACAGAUUGCAGCAGUAUGGAAGAUGGUUCCUAUUUGUAUUUUCUGGUGUAUUUGGAGAGAACGAAAUGAAAGACUUUUUGAGGAUCAUGAACUUUCCUCGGAGGAUUUUAGGAGACUUUUUUGGAAGACUUUAUUUAUCUGGAUCAUUGCUCUGGAGUUAAAUGGUCUUUGCUUCCAUAACUUUCUUGUAACAGUUUCUAGUUCUUAAUUUGGUGUACUCAUAUGUAUACCUCCUGUGUACUUGGGCUAUGCCUAUUUUUAUCAAUACAACUACUUAUUACUUAUAAAAA